ACACCACACAAUAAUAACCUUGACUUAUUAUUUUUUUGCUUUUGAAUAAAUAAUUACUAACAUUUCAAUACUAUGAACAUAGGGUUUUUUUUUCCCUGACAGCCCUAAUUUCGCGCUCUUUUCUUCACCCCGCUCCCCCUUAAAUAUUUUUACACACACUAUCAGAGGGCAUGUGAGUGUGUGAGCACUGACCUGCCAUGAUCUCCAAAAUACUUAUUGACCAAAAUUGUGUCAAUAAGUAACAAGGCACGGAUUAACAUUUUAAAAAGCACAAGGAAAGAGAGAGGGAAAAAAAAAUCCUUAUUGAUUUCUCUUGCUCUCUAACACACAGCCACGGAAUAAUAAACUGAAUACAGCGUGAAUGGGAUAAAGAGCUGACUAAAGAAUGUGAUACACAUCCCACAUUUCAUCCUAUCAUCUACCAUAUAGAAUCGCUUCCGUCAAAGACGGAGGUAACCGACUACGGAGGUAAAAACAGCUUAUACACAGCAGAUGUGUAAGAAGUGGGUAAGUAAAUCACUCCAACCAACAACAACAAAAAAGUGUGAUUAUGACAUCCCUGCAAAUUAGAGUGACAGAAUAAGGGAACACGGGCCACACACUGUAGGUGGUUAUGCUCAAAUCCACUCAGUGCGACACUGCACACUCAUCUUUCAUUUCCUCUCUAGACAUUCACGCUUUCUGAAUCCGCUUUACCAGUACAAUAUCUCGUCUAUUACAGAGCCUUGUUUUCGCGUUCGUAGUCGUCGGUGUUCAUCCGUUCUGGCUUCCCUUAGCAUGACUUUCCCAUGACAUCAGCCUCGGCCUGCGCAGAUGACUUCUUCAGCUGACCCACUUCCUGCGUGGAUCAGGAAGGCAGCUGUUUCUUUUCAAAGUUAAUCAACUGGGUGUAUAGAAGGAACUGACCAUUUUAGAAACUUAGCACGAGGCCUUUCAAAGACAAAAACAAACCAAAAAAAACCCCCCUGACAUUUAAGAUUUAGAAUCUUAAAUAUAACUCUGGUGGGUUAGUUCCACAUUCAAAUAGUGAACCAAAUCAAAAUGAUGUACUGCUAUUUUUAUUUUAACGAAGUGAGAAAUGAAAAAUGAAUGAAGGGCAAAUCCACCAGGCCUCUGGUUUUAAAAUGUCAGUGUUGAUUAAUUUUCUAUAACAGCAGUAGUUCUGAAUGCAGGGUUUAUAUUAAUGCACUUAUUCCAAUACAUUUUUUUAGUAGCAACGUACACAGCUACUUGUAUCACAGACGCGCCACAUCAACUGAUUAAAAACAUGUGGAAAUGUUGAUAUGGAGAAGUAGGUGUUUAUUUAACAUUUAUGGAAGGAGUCUCCAGUGUCAACUAGGGUUAGAGUCAACUUUAAGUUUUCCACCUGAGUGCUUUGCGUUGUCUGGUUUCUCAAUAACGUGACAAGCUAAAAUUUUUGUCUUCAAGGGAGAGGGGAAAAAAGACUGGUGAGGGCAUGACUAGCCGUUUCACAAUAUGCGUUUUUAUGCGUCCUUGUGCACUUGUUCUACAUCAUCCACCGCUGAAGUUCAAUUCCAAUACUCAAGAAUGCAAGUUUCGGGGACACGUGAAAUUACUCGGACGGGUUCUUGAUAUCGAGGAUGCAUCGGAUGCAGACACGAGCGCAUCGAAUCCGCCUGAAGUCUCAGAAGUCAUUACGACAAAACAAUAGCAGAUGACGGAAGACUGACCCGUAACAUAAGUUUUAACGACAAUGAUCUAAAUAUGCAUCUAAAAAGAAUGAUUUUGAUAUAGGAUUUAGAUUGGGAUAUAUAUGAGGUUGUUGAAAAGUCGAAUUUAUCCCUCAGAAGUAUCUUAAGCUAAGCAAGCUUCCAUCAUGAGUGAACUGUAAACUCCCUGUUAGCUUAGUUUUUAGUUAACAUGAGGUCGCAGCUGCAAACAGUGAGCUUACUGCAUUAAAACGUGCUUGAUUAACCCUUGGUUAAAAUCAGCAAUUUAACAGUAAAUCUAUUAACCAGCUGAAACAUAUUGCUUAGUGAACACUGAAGAUACGAUGGCCCGGUCCCUCUACUAGAAAUGUGCUGGGACGGUCCAUUGUGCAACAGGAAGUUCGCAGCACAUCUCAAUUCUCGCACAGAUUCGUUCACCUGUCCUUCCGAGUUCGUUCUUCCAAGGUAACCUGGCAAGAUCGGUCUUCACGAGAACCCAAGUCCGUUCCUUCGCGUUCUUGGAAUGAAGAUACAGUCACUGUGUACUGCUAUUUACGCAAGUGAUAACAGGAACUACUGUGUUUUGAAAAAACUGCACAUUAAACGUAAACAUAAAUGAAUAAAUAAUACACUGUGUUAGGGCUGGGCGAUACAUUGAUAUAAUAGCGAUAUCAUGAUUAAUGAUUACGUGAUGCACUUUUCUCACAUAUCGUAGGUAUAGAGAUGUUGUUUUUUUUUUAACGCUUUUAACAUUUACAAAUUAAAUGGUACAGAGUGGAUUCUGUGGAUCUGACGUCAUUUAUAUAUUUUUUAUUUAAUAGGCAUUGAAGAAAAUUAUGGUCAAACUCAGUUUAACAUUUUUUUUUUGUUUGUUUAUUUUAUUUUACUACUGUUUUGCAGACACUUUGUUAGCUAAAUUACAUAUCGUGAAUCGCAGAAAUGUCCUCAAGUAUCGCGAUAGGUUAUUUCUGUCGUAUCGCCCCGCCCUACACUGCGUCCUUGUUUAAUGAGUACGGCAGUUAAUCAACUGCACAUGGGGAGCAAAGGGGAGAAAGUCGAAAUCCCUGCAUUUCAUACAACACUACUUAAUGUUCAUUAAGCUUCAACAACAUCUGCAUGCACACCACUGCAUGAAUAUUAGUCAUGAGUUUGGUGGAAUUUUAUAGUGUUUACCUUGGAAACACUAAAUAUAUUUUCAAUUGUUCUCUGGAGCAAAUGAAAUAUGUUUUCAACGUAAAAAAAAACCCAAAAACAACAACCCCAAAACAAAACAGGGCACAUCACAAGCACACACAUGAAAAACCAUUAAUGAGGCUGAACCACCCAUUUAAAUGAUGGUUAUAUAAGCUGGUGUUGUCACUGUUCGUUUGAGUGAACGCCCAAAAGAACCCAAAACCAACUGGUUCCCAAAGGAGCACUGGCAUCCAGCCUUAUGCACGCACGCACACACACACAAUUUCUCAGAUUCUUAAGAAGUUGGCAAUCAUCCAGCCCCUCCCCCUAACAGACCAAUACACCCACGUACAUACACACACACAGUUUGUGGGAGCCUUUCCUUCAGUGGUUAUUGAUUCGGCCUAUUCUGUUCUCGUCUCAUGCAACUCAAAAAACAGACGUGGAGCACUAAGAGCACGCCAUAUAUACAGAUUUCACAAAACCUUUGAGAGCAUAAGAUUUUUCAGCAAAGUAUAAUUUGCUCAGGAAGACUGACUCACUCGCAGUGAUAUGAAUGUUGCAAUAUGCAAAAACUGUGGUGUAACACUACAAUCACACUAGUAAGCAACAAAGCAACAACAGAAUCCUUCAUUAUCAGCUCCCUAGUUCAGUAGUCAGGGCACCGAUCAGGGACUCUGCCAUUUUAAGGCCAAUCACAAAAUCCUUCCAGUCCACUGGAAAAUUUGCUCCCUAAAAAAAACAAAAAAACAAAA